rnacentral:lncRNA from 1 species
AUGAUUACAUGUUCAUAUUCUAUUGAAACCAGUGAUGUCCCUUUUUUCUUUGCAGAACUCAAGCUAACUUUGGAGUUAAGGACACAGAAGCCUGCUUUGGAGUUAAGGACACAGAAGUCUGCUUGUGUGAGGAGGAGGCGGUGUUCUCAGCUUCUUCUGAAGAGAGGGAAAGACAGUUUAAGAUGUUGAAAGCCAGAGACAUAGGUGAGCAUCAUUCUUUUGAGAUUUAUAACUCAAACCAACUUUGGAGUUGUCUGAUUUGGAGAGUCAUCAUUCUUGGUCUUCCCUCUUAAGGGAAUAGUUCACACAAAAAAUCAUUUACUUGCCCUCAUGUCAUUCCAAACCUAUACGACUUUUGUCUGUCUUUAGAAUACAAAUGAAUAUAUUUUGAAUUUUCUCAGAUUUUUGUUAAUCCAUUGAGAGUCUAGAUAGUCAGUAUUUUCAAACCUCAUAAAUACAGAGUUAUUGUAGAAGUAAUCCAUUCUGAUAUUUAUAUAUGAUUAAAUCUUAAAUUAUAUGAUAGCAAACACGUAUGUUCAAAAUAAAAUAUUGGUCUCCCAGACUUACAAUGGAGGACAAAAAUUAAUAGAAUAUUAAAUAUAUUUAUUUGUGUUCCAAAAAUUAGCAGAGUUUGUAUGGGUCUGGAACAACAUGGGGGAGUAAAUUAUGACCAUUUUCAUUUUUUGGUGGACUAACCCUUUGAAGAGCAGCCCUCAACGUACAUGAACAUUUGUGAGGUAUGUGUGAAUGUUUCAGUAAAGUAGCUUUCUGAAAGCAAUAUAUUUAUUCAAACAAUAUCACAUGCCCUCACACUGGUGCUGCCAUUAUAGCAUUCUCGAGCGCUGACAUUAAACAACCACACAAAGUGUUGAAACUUAAACAAGAUAUUACCUCUCCUUACUGAUGUGAAUACACCUCUAUCUGAAAAUAGGAUAGUUUAAUUAAAUAGUUUAAUUCUCGAGCGCUGACAUUAAACAACCACACAAAGUGUUGAAACUUUAAAACAGAUUAUUUACCUCUCCUUACUGAUGUGAAUACACCUCUAUCUGAAAAUGGAUAGUUUAAUUAAAUGUUUUAUUUUUUCUAAAUGUGUUUCUCUUUUUAGGCCACUGAUGAAGAACAGGUGGUGACUGGGAUGAAUGCUGGUCAAAGAAGAGAAUGUCCUUUCCCCUAAACUGAUGCAACAGUGGUUUUAAAGGAGGACGCUGCCCUGGAUGAUGGAAAAGAUGUCACAUGUGCUGAUGGGGCUUCUUCAUGACUACAUCAGUUAUGCUAAAGAGAUCAUGAAAGUUGACA